CCAUCCUGGGAGCGAGAGCUAAUUCACUUCUGUCUCUUUAGACCCUCUUAUCAGAGAUCUGACAGUUCCCAGACUUGAAUGAACCUUUCCACUUUUUAAUUUUUUUUUAAACAGCUUGAACCUCUCUGCUCGUAAUUUUGGCAUCCAGACUCCACUCUUGGAUUGAGACUCUAGUCAAUUAAACACCUUAGGCCUUUUUCCAUGAGUUGCUCUCAAGCCAACAUGUCUCCAGUCUGCAAUCAGUUUUUGCAUGCAGUUUUCCUCUUGUUGCCCAGGCUGGAGUGCAAUUCUGCAAUCUUGGCUCACUGCAACCUCCACCUCCCAGGUUCAAGCAAUUCUCCUG
rnacentral:lncRNA from 13 species